rnacentral:misc_RNA from 1 species
ACACAAUAAUAUCCAAAACCUUUUGGAUCAACCCAACCUUAGUGAACUGUUUUUUACCUUAACUUUAAUCUUUUAAACUAAACUCAAUCUGAUUUGUAUAAUGUCUGAUCUUUUUUCUCGAAUAACUUUGAGGAAAAUAAUUCUAACGUAAUA